rnacentral:rRNA from 1 species
ACGAAGGGGGCGAGCGUUGUUCGGAAUUACUGGGCGUAAAGGGCGCGCAGGCGGCGAGUUUUGUCAAACGUGAAAUCCCCGGGCUUAACCCGGGAACUGCGUCCGAUACUGGAAGGCUUGAAUCCGGGAGAGGGAUGCGGAAUUCCAGGUGUAGCGGUGAAAUGCGUAGAUAUCUGGAGGAACACCGGUGGCGAAGGCGGCAUCCUGGACCGGCAUUGACGCUGAGGCGCGAAAGCCAGGGGAGCAAACGGGA